rnacentral:misc_RNA from 1 species
GAUGAAGAACGUAGCGAAAUGCGAUAAGUAAUGUGAAUUGCAGAAUUCAGUGAAUCAUCGAAUCUUUGAACGCACAUUGCGCCCCCUGGUAUUCCGGGGGGCAUGCCUGUUCGAGCGUCAUUUCAACCCUCAAGCUCUGCUUGGUAUUGGGCGUCGCCGGGGAGUCUCCUCGGCGUGCCUCAAAGCCAUCGGCGGUGGUGCCUUUCUCUAAGCGUGGUAGAAUUUUUAUUCGCUUCUGAGUUGGGCUUCGCCUGCCGGACAAACCGGGCCCUCGCGGCCCACCUUCUCAGGUUGACCUCGGAUCAGGUAGGGAUACCCGCUGAACUUAAGCAUAUCAAUAAGCGGAGGA